GGUUCAUUCAAAUUUCUGCCCUAUCAACUUUCGACGGCUGGGUCUUGGCAGCCGUGUGACAACGGGUAACGGGGAAUUAGGGUUUGAUUCCGGAGAAGGAGCCUGAGAAACGGCUACUACAUCCAAGGAAGGCAGCAGGCGCGCAAAUUACCCAAUCCCGACCGGGGAGGUAGUGACAAUAAAUACUGAUACAGGGCCCUUUUGGGUCUUGUAACUGGAAUGAGUACAAUUUAAAUCCCUUAACGAGGAACAAUUGGAGGGCAAGUCUGGUGCCAGCAGCCGCGGUAAUUCCAGCUCCAAUAGCGUAUAUUAAAGUUGUUGUGGUUAAAAAGCUCGUAGUUG
rnacentral:rRNA from 1 species